rnacentral:rRNA from 1 species
CAAGGUUGACCUCGGAUCAGGUAGGACUACCCGCUGAACUUAAGCAUAUCAAUAAGCGGAGGAAAAGAAACCAACAGGGAUUGCCCCAGUAACGGCGAGUGAAGCGGCAACAGCUCAAAUUUGAAAUCUGGCCUUCGGGUCCGAGUUGUAAUUUGGAGAGGAUGCUUCUGGCGCGGCGCCGUCCGAGUUCCUUGGAACAGGACGCCAUAGAGGGUGAGAGCCCCGUACGGGCGGACGCCUAGCCUCUGUGAAGCUCCUUCGACGAGUCGAGUAGUUUGGGAAUGCUGCUCAAAAUGGGAGGUAAAUUUCUUCUAAAGCUAAAUACCGGCCAGAGACCGAUAGCGCACAAGUAGAGUGAUCGAAAGAUGAAAAGCACUUUGAAAAGAGGGUUAAAAAGUACGUGAAAUUGUUGAAAGGGAAGCGCCUGUGACCAGACUUGCUGCCCGCGGAUCAUCCGGCGUUCUUCGCCGGUGCACUCCGCGGGCGGCAGGCCAGCAUCGGUUUUCCUGGGGGGUCAAAGGUCGCGGGAACGUGGCUCCUUCGGGAGUGUUAUAGCCCGCGGCGUCAUGCCUCUGGGGGGACCGAGGACCGCGCUU